rnacentral:rRNA from 1 species
AAAGAAACCAACAGGGAUUGCCCUAGUAACGGCGAGUGAAGCGGCAACAGCUCAAAUUUGAAAUCUGGCCUCGGCCCGAGUUGUAAUUUGCAGAGGAUGCUUCUGGCGCGGUGCCUUCCGAGUUCCCUGGAACGGGACGCCACAGAGGGUGAGAGCCCCGUAUGGUCGGACACCAAGCCUGUGUGAAGCUCCUUCGACGAGUCGAGUAGUUUGGGAAUGCUGCUCUAAAUGGGAGGUAAAUCUCUUCUAAAGCUAAAUACCGGCCAGAGACCGAUAGCGCACAAGUAGAGUGAUCGAAAGAUGAAAAGCACCUUGAAAAGGGGGUUAAAUAGUACGUGAAAUUGUUGAAAGGGAAGCACUUAUGACCAGACUUGGGCCGGGCGGCUCAUCAGGGGUUCUCCCCUGUGCACUCCGCCCGGCACAGGCCAGCAUCGGUUCUCGUGGGGGGAUAAGACCGUCAGGAACGUAGCACCCUCCGGGGUGUGUUAUAGCCUGGCGGACGAUACCCCCGUGGGACCGAGGUCCGCGCUCCGCAAGGAUGCUGGCGUA